rnacentral:snoRNA from 1 species
UUCUCUCGAAUGAUGAAGCAUUUCCGGAUGUAAUUGCCUACGGGCCAUGUCCGAGAGCGCAUAAAACCAAGUGGACAUCUCCGUUGCCUUCCUUCUGAUUCACUCU